rnacentral:rRNA from 2 species
UGGGGAAUAUUGGACAAUGGGCGAAAGCCUGAUCCAGCCAUGCCGCGUGUGUGAAGAAGGCCUUUUGGUUGUAAAGCACUUUAAGCGAGGAGGAGGCUACUUAGAUUAAUACUCUAGGAUAGUGGACGUUACUCGCAGAAUAAGCACCGGCUAACUCUGUGCCAGCAGCCGCGGUAAUACAGAGGGUGCGAGCGUUAAUCGGAUUUACUGGGCGUAAAGCGUGCGUAGGCGGCUUUUUAAGUCGGAUGUGAAAUCCCUGAGCUUAACUUAGGAAUUGCAUUCGAUACUGGGAAGCUAGAGUAUGGGAGAGGAUGGUAGAAUUCCAGGUGUAGCAGUGAAAUGCGUAGAGAUCUGGAGGAAUACCGAUGGCGAAGGCAGCCAUCUGGCCUAAUACUGACGCUGAGGUACGAAAGCAUGGGGAGCAAACAGG